GCGCGAGUGGCGGAACGGCAGACGCACCAGCUUGAGGGGCUGGCGGGAGCGAUCUCGUGCGAGUUCAAAUCUCGCCUCGCGCACCA
rnacentral:tRNA from 1 species